rnacentral:rRNA from 1 species
UCAAAGAUUAAGCCAUGCAUGUCUCAGUGCAUGCCGAAUUAAGGUGAAACCGCGAAUGGCUCAUUAAAUCAGUUAUGGUUCCUUAGAUCGUACCCACAUUUACUUGGAUAACUGUGGUAAUUCUAGAGCUAAUACAUGCAAACCAGAGUUCCGACCAGAGAUGGAAGGAACGCUUUUAUUAGAUCAAAACCAAUCGGUGGCGGGUUCGCUCGUCCACCGUUUACCUUGGUGACUCUGAAUAACUUUGUGCUGAUCGCACGGUCUCGCACCGGCGACGCAUCUUUCAAAUGUCUGCCUUAUCAACUGUCGAUGGUAGGUUCUGCGCCUACCAUGGUUGUAACGGGUAACGGGGAAUCAGGGUUCGAUUCCGGAGAGGGAGCCUGAGAAACGGCUACCACAUCCAAGGAAGGCAGCAGGCGCGCAAAUUACCCACUCCCGGCACGGGGAGGUAGUGACGAAAAA